UCAAGAAUUCAACAUUUAAUUACAAUGAAUUCUCGCCUCAAAUCCACUCCCAGAAGUCUGAAUUAGCAAACCUUCUUUUCUCUCUCUUUGCUCACAUGGAGGUUCUCCAUUUUUCACUUUUCUUGCUGCACAACAUUCCAAAUUUUGAAGGCUACAAGAGAAGCCUUACCAUUUUGGGUAACUCUCUGCAAAAAAUCAAAAAGCUCUGCUGAGUUCGUCCAGAAUCCCCAACGUUAAAAUUCAAACGGCUCCAUUUCAUCUCUUUUGGGGAAAAUCUGAAUUUCAAACCCAAAUCAAGAACUCUAGUUUUUCACGUAUAAAAACCAGCACUUGGAGUCCAUCUGGAUAGAGUUUCAUAAACCUUCGGCUUCGGUGAGAAAGGAGUAAAUCCUAGACAGCCGCCUUAGUUUACUGCCCCGAUAGAGGUCAGCACUUUCUCCUUUUUCUUUUAUUUUAAAUUCUUAAACAUGAUUAAUAUGCUGGCCAAACCAUGUUUUAUUCUUUGUGCUAAAUAGCAAGACGACCUAACUACUUUACUUAAUUUAGUUUGUUUGGCUAUUGAAUAGAUAAUAUCAUGUCAAGAAGCUUCGUUAGAAACACGAUUCGAUGUUAUGUCUAAAGUGAUAUCAAUAGCAAGUUACUGUUAUUUUGCUUGGUGAAAGUCACUGUGAACUGUUGCACAGAUAUAUUUAUUUGUCCUUAUUCAAAGAUCAUGUAGAAACCAUGUAUUGUGACUUUUUAUCAUUUGUUUAAAGAAAAAUUCUGCCUUAAGUUGCCUCAUACGAAGUAGAAGCUCGUUUAGCUAUUCAAAGUAAGGUGUCUUUGCUAGUUGUAAAAGUUUCUUCUAGAUUUUCAUGCCAGAAAUAUGUUAAUAUAUUUUCUGAUUUAUUUAAUAAAUAAAAAAUAUAUAUCUUAAUCUCUCAUAGCAGAAGCACGUUUGGUGUCGAAGAACAAUAGAAGUUAAGAGGAGUUUGACAUUGAUGAACCUUUUAAAUUAUUUUCCUUCCUUACUGUUACUAUCGAGUGUGCCAUUAGGAUAUUACUUGAAAUACAGUAAGAAAGUAUGUGCUUUGUGUGUUAAAUGAUAUCAUGCGUAUUAGUUGUCUUAAAAAGGUCUGCUGCUGCUUCGGCAUUUCCUUUAGAAAGCAUGCUACUAGGACUUUAAUAUCCAAUUUUAAGACUUAACAUGGAAGUGGGUAACCAUGUUGUUCAAAGUGUCAAGGAUUAUGUUCACCAUAUUAAUCUGUUCGACCCUUUAGAUUUCACAUGAACAUGGAAAGUUAAUAUUCUGAGUUAUUAUUUCUGUUAGAAAACAUGUAUAAAGACCAUAAAUCUUGCUGUAAAUUUUGUCCAAGUCUAUUUCUAACUCCUCUCUUUCUAAUUUCUUGAUUUUCUCUUUCUUUGAUUUGCAUAUGCACUUUGGAGCAAUAUGAGUCUUAAUGCAAGACUCUCCCAUUCGCGAGCAUGGAGUCAUCACAUAUCAACUUCUAAAGUCACCGGAUAACAAGAAAAACAAGCGAAACGCUUGGGGCGCCUAUGAUGUCCUUUUAUUUCUUUUGCUAGUCAUUUUAUCUAUCUUUAUGAUUGUUAAUUUAUUUCUAUAUUUUGAGUUUAUUUUAGUUUGAGGUUUAAUCAUCUAGUUUCACUGAUCAUAUAAUCUUUAGGAAUUUAAGAUCGCUAAUUUAUUAACCUUUUUAUCUA